rnacentral:rRNA from 1 species
UACGUAGGGUGCAAGCGUUGUCCGGAAUUAUUGGGCGUAAAGAGCUCGUAGGCGGUCUGUCACGUCGGGCGUGAAAAUCCAGGGCUUAACCCUGGACCUGCGAUCGAUACGGGCAGACUAGAGUUCGGUAGGGGAGACUGGAAUUCCUGGUGUAGCGGUGAAAUGCGCAGAUAUCAGGAGGAACACCGGUGGCGAAGGCGGUUCUCUGGGCAUUACCUGACGCUGAGGAGCGAAAGCGUGGGGAGCGAACAGG